rnacentral:rRNA from 1 species
CACUCCUACGGGAGGCAGCAGUGGGGAAUUUUGGACAAUGGGCGAAAGCCUGAUCCAGCAAUGCCGCGUGCAGGAUGAAGGCCUUCGGGUUGUAAACUGCUUUUGUACGGAACGAAAAAGCUCCUUCUAAUACAGGGGGCCCAUGACGGUACCGUAAGAAUAAGCACCGGCUAACUACGUGCCAGCAGCCGCGGUAAUACGUAGGGUGCGAGCGUUAAUCGGAAUUACUGGGCGUAAAGCGUGCGCAGGCGGUUAUGUAAGACAGAUGUGAAAUCCCCGGGCUCAACCUGGGAACUGCAUUUGUGACUGCAUGGCUAGAGUACGGUAGAGGGGGAUGGAAUUCCGCGUGUAGCAGUGAAAUGCGUAGAUAUGCGGAGGAACACCGAUGGCGAAGGCAAUCCCCUGGACCUGUACUGACGCUCAUGCACGAAAGCGUGGGGAGCAAACAGGAUUAGAAACCCGAGUAGUCCCAUGAU